rnacentral:rRNA from 1 species
UACGGAGGGAGCUAGCGUUGUUCGGAAUUACUGGGCGUAAAGCGCAUGACGGCGGCGUUCUGUAAGUUAGAGGUGAAAGCCCGGGGCUCAACCCCGGAAUUGCCUUUAAGACUGCAUCGCUUGAAUCCAGGAGAGGUGAGUGGAAUUCCGAGUGUAGAGGUGAAAUUCGUAGAUAUUCGGAAGAAACACCAGUGGCGAAGGGCGGCU